AGGAACCAGCAUUUACCUUGUGCUCUGGGGCAUCGGGACACCGGCUUCUCAUUGUGUGACCUCCCUGCUACUCAGGGAAAGGGGCUCAAGCAGAAGCUUCAGUCAUGCAGAAUGGCGUCCUGGCAGCGCUGGGCAGGAGGAGGGGCCCUUCAGCCUCGUAAUUGUACAGCAAGAUUUGAUUUUAGUAAGAUUAGGCUUCAUAGAUGAUAGGAAGGAUUGUCGAAGUUUCAUGGAAAGAAAGGAGAAAUGGACAGUUACUCCAAAAAAAAGGUUAAUUUGAAUUUGUUUUUGGUUCAAGCUAGCUUGUGAUACCUCUCUAUUUAAAGACACAGCAUGUUAAAACCAGUGGACACAUAACCUAAAGUAGGGUUGGUGACUUGUCUUUUUUUAAAAUUGUUUCUAUUGUAGAGAAGGGGGGUCUCGCUAUGUUGCUCAAGCUAGUUUUGAACUCCUGGGCUCUUUAAAUCCUCUUGCCUCAGCUUUCUGAGUAGCGAGGACUGUAGGCAUGCUCCACUGUGCCUGGCUUGAUGACUUGUUUUUAUAGGGCUUAUAGGAUCCCCAACCUCCUGAAGGACAUUGAUUGCAAGUGGGAAGCAGAGAGUUAAUUAAAUAAAUAUUAUGGAUUUUACAUAUUGAUUCUAUUGCUGUGGCCUAUUGAAGGAAAUGGGGAAAGAGGUAUGCCCACAGAUACAGCCUUGUAAACCCAUGGAUUCCCAUCCAGCAGACAGCUCUAAUGAAGCUACAUCUCCAUCUUGUGACUUAUAAAAGGCAUUGCUGUAAAAGACUUAAAGAUUUCUUGAGCUUUUGCAAAUACAGUCUUCAGUAUGAAUGUUACCGCUUGACAUUUGCCUUUUAGGUUGAAUGAAAUUUAAAUGAAGGCAGGCACUAAUACACAUAUUGAUUGCAAGUUCCUCUCCUGUAUUUUAAAAUAUGCUAAGAAAGAGUAUUUAGAAAUUGUGUGUACGCUCCUGAUCCCUCUCUUUCAUUGAUUCAGCAAUAUUUACUGAGUGCCUGCUAUGCACCAGGUGUUGUGCUAGGAGCUGUAUUAAGGAGAACACCAGGUCCCUCCUUAUGAGUCUUAAGUUUUAAGAGGGGAAACCUUCGUAAAUGAAUGUGUCAGGGUUUAGUGAAGCAGAUACAGAGUAGGGUAAUGAGCGAGAAUCAGCUGGGUAGGGUACUGUCUUACGUAAGGGAGGAUCAGAAAAGUCACCUAAAAGUAACAUUUAGUUGAAACCUUAGUGAAGUGAGAAGGACAACCUUUUGGAUAUCAGAGAAUUCUGAGGCCUAAGGUGAAAGCAUGCCUGGCAUGUUCAAGAAAUAGCCAGGAAUGUUUCUGUAGCACAGCAAGGAGGGGCAUGGUAGGAGAGGUGGGUGGUGGGCUUGUGGGAGGGGUGUCCCAGAGGGAGUGGAUCAGGUCUGGCCUGUUGACCCACCAUCAGGGCAUGGUGAUGUGCCCUGCGUGAGCAGCUUCUGAACAGAGGAGUGACUCACUCUGACAGCAGGGCUCACUGUGGCCCCUGAGUCUGUGGUCUCUGGGGGCUACUGCACAUCAGACUGGGACUGGUGGCUGGGUUGUGUGGCAGCAGUGGUCGUGAUAAGAAGCAGUGAGAUCCAGGCUGUACCUUGAAGGUAGAGAAAAGAAAAUUUGCUCCUAGAAUGGCUGUGGGCGAGGGUGGGCGAGGGCUGAGGAAUGGGAAAAGCUAGGAGGAGCUGAGAUGCACUGAGAUGGCCCCGAGGGAUUGGUAAUGGAAUGCUUAUUGAAUAGUCCCUUAAGACUUUAAUUUUAUCAGACUUAUGGAGUUAAUGUAGCUGUUUUAAAAUUAAAAAAUUUUUAAAUCUUACGUGAUUAGUAAAGAGAAACAUCUCAAACAUUUUUUAAUGUUUAGAUGUUAAAAUCAGUUUUAAGAAGUCAUAUUGAUACUGGUUUUUUACUGUAAACCUAUUUAUGUGAGGAGUGGAUAAGAGAUCUGAUUGACAAGGUUUUAAAAUUCUGCAAAAAGCCUGUGUGGAAGAAACACAUAAGAAGAUGAAAAGGAUGGAACAGUCUAUAGAAUGUGGUGGUUUAACCACACUGUGAGAUUGCAUUCACUCCCCUCGGCCUGGCCCAGGUGGUCUCAGGGUCUUGUCAGCCUGCAACCCCAUGGCUGCUGCUGCUUCUGUUCCUCCCUCAGCUCCUGCCCAUCAUCUCUCUUCAGUCUCCACAGCCCUUUGGCGUCCUCUCUCCUUCCCCUCCUCUCUGCCUCUUCUUGGUGUCCCCCACCCUCCCUACUCCUUACUCAUGCCUCCCAGCCCCUCCCUAGCUGUGACUCUCCUCUCUCCCUUCUUUCAUUUCUCUUGUGACCUCUCAUUCCCUCUGGAAUUUUAAAAAUACACAGCCAAGGUCCUGUCUUCCUGCUGAAGAGAAAGCUGCUUUCCUUUUCCUGCAGCUCCUGCUUGUAUCAGGCAGAUGUGGAUUGUCUCCCCUCGCUGCUGCGGGAUUUGCAGCCAUUAGCUGAGAAUGGGAGUCUUGCGCAUCAGAAAGAGCCCAGCUUUAUUUUGAAAAACAAAACAUGACUCCAAAGUGGUGAAUAUUUUGAGUAUGGAAUAAUAAUCCUUAACUGCAUAUAUCCAUAUCCGUUUGAGGUCAUUUUUAUCAUGUUUGCUUCUUGUUUUGAGAAAUGUCUUGGCAGUCAUCCAGCCUUUGCAGAACCUCAGGAUCAAAUGGUUCCCUUAUGUGUAGGAAGUGAAGCUUCACUUUGAAAACCUCAGCAGUGAAGAGAGAGUGACUGAAUAAUUGAGAGGUUGAAGGAAGCUUCUGAUGAAUGGAUCCAAAUCAAAUCUUUGAAGAGAUUUAUGUGGCAACAAGGCAGUCCCCUCUUUACCCUCGCCUGGCUUUGGCUCUGAAAAAAACACCUGCUGUGUUCAUGUGGCCCCCUUCUGUUGAAUUUACCACUUUUUCUUGCCUCAGGAAUCACAGGAAUAAGCAAAACAAAUGUGUCCCAGCUAAUGUAAGUCCAUGGGCCUCCCUCCUUCCCUUUUUCCUCCCAGUUUUCUGUAUACUUGGAACAUUUUAGUUAUUUUUAUUAUUAUUAUUUUUUUUUUGAGAUGGAGUUUCACUCUUGUUGCCCGGCUGGAGUUCAAUGGCACGAUCAUGGCUCACCAUAACCUCUGCCUCCAUAGUUCAAGCGAUUCUCCUGCCUCAGCCUCCCUAGUAGCUGGGAUUACAGGCAUGUGCCACCAUACCUGGCUGAUUUUUGUAUUUUUAGUAGAGACUGGGUUUCUCCGUGUUGGUCAGGCUGGUCUCAAACUCCCAACCUCAAGUGAUCCAUCUGCCUCAGCCUCUCAAAGUGCUGGGUUUUCAAGUGCGAGCCACUGCACCUGGCUUAUCAUUACUAUUUUUUUAAGAGACGGGGAUCUUACUACAUUUCCCAGGCUGGACUCAAACUCUUGGGCUCAAGUGAUCUUCACACAUCAGCCUCUGAGCAGCUGGGACUGCAGGCAAGCCACAAUGGCCGGCUAGUUAUUAUUAAACUUCGUUGCCCGUGGCAUAUUAAUUUGUUCUAACUACCUAGUAUGUGAUCUAACUACAAGAGUCUUGAUGAACGUGUUUCCCUUGGCAUUUAUGUGAAGACUUUGAAGCAGCUGCUCUGUGAGAGGGUUGGUGAAAUAAGCACCUGAAGGUGCGAGUUCCCUGCUGUGUGGCAGGGAGGUUGGGCCCUUGGACCUCCUGGGCCUGGCAGACCUGCUGCUUCAUGAAGAAACUAACCUUUCUUACGUCAGUGCAGACCCUACUCAUCCUCCAGGCUCAGCUCGGUUCCCAACCCAUCCCGUAGCCAGUGCUCCCUCUUCGCACUGUGUCUCCUAUGUGCUUCACUCACUGGCAGUUCAUCAUCUGCCUUCUGGUGCUGACUGCUGAUUCCCAGCUGUGUGUUCCUUGCGGUCUUAUUUCUGAGUUGAUUGUCCUCCUAGUUUGUAAACUUAUUAAGGGUGAGGACUUAAUGAUGAAGGUAAUUUCUCUCCAUAUGAGGGGCUUGAAGAAUCUUGAUGACUCUUUGUUCAAGGUAAUCCUUUUAAAACAUUCUUCACUAUACUUGUCUUCGAUCCAGGAUUUUAAACUUGUAAUAGUUAAUAAUUAUGAAUCAGCACAUUAAAGAGAAAAACUUUUACGUGCCUCAGAAACCAACCUUUAAAAUUUUACCUUUGGAGCCUGGUCAACACAGCAAGACCUUGUUUCUACAAAAAAUGAAAAAUAUAAUAAAAUAGCUGAACAUCAUGCUAUGUGCCUGUAGUCCCAGCUACUCAAGAGGUUGAGGUUGGAGAUUCGCUUGAGUCCAGGAGUUCAAGGCUGCAAUAAGCCGUGAUCAUGGCACUGCACUCCUGCCUCGGCAACAAAGUGAGACUGUCUCCAAAAAAAAUAAAAAAGUUUUACAUUUUACUUUUGGAAAAAGCUCCCACAUUAAACUCUUUCUUAUCCACCCCCCUCCUCCGCCAAUACCCAACCUUUUCUUCCUAGGUCUUUAAGAUAAUCAUGAAUUUUGGAGAUCUUAGACCUCAGAAUCACACAAUGGGAGGCCUUUCAUCUCAAACUCUCAGUUUAUUUCUCUGACAAUGUUCCUAAUUGAAGUUGUUUUGGGGCUGAGAUAGUUUAAAUCUUGAACUGAAGUAAAAAUGUGCCAAUUUCUGUCAAAUUCUGUACCAGAUACUGCAAAUGAAUUCUGCUUUUGCUUAGUGGCUGUGAGAAAUACCUUGGUAGCUAGCCUGGAUCAUGUCUUUCAGGCUAAGUAAACUUGGUCAGAUCAGAGAAGCAUUUUGGAAGAAAUGCUAGGUCAGUUUCUGAAGCUUUAAAUACCAAGGGAUGGGCAAGGAUGGAGCCAAAGUAAAUGGCUGCCUUUUGCCUCUGAGAGUUACAUUGAUGGUUAACCAAUUUCACAUAUAUUAUGCUAAAAAUAUGGUUCCUUUUCAGGAAGUCAUCCAGAUUGGUAGAAUUUAGGAAGAUAAAAAGGAGGAAAUACAGAUUAAAACAUUUUUAAAAACCCACACAAACAAAACCCUAGAUUAUUAGGUUUUUAAUUAAACAUGAUGAACACAUUCAAAUAUAAUACAAAGGCCCUAGGCUGAACUGCACCUAAUUGAAAUAGAUUAAGUCACCCUUCCAUGCUUGGGUAGUUAUUAAUUCUGUUUAUUUAUGCAUGUGAGCUGAAGGUAGCAUUUGCUGCUGUUUUGUUGGCGCUUAUUGCACUGGGAUUCCGUUGCUGCUUGAUGCUGUGCUCUUAAUUAGCAUUCAGCUGUUGAUUAUGGAAAUAGUGGGGAUGUUAAUUGAAUUCUUUUUAAAAUUCAGGGCCUGCAUUUUCCUUGUGGAGUUUGGUUGGACUUGCAAGGUUGUAAGAUUGGGUGUUCCACUGAGCUGUGCAUCUCACUCUUUGCUUCCUAUCCACUUAGCUGUGUUUUGCUUUUUAAAAUUAUUUUCAUGUUGAAUUAGCUUUUAGCAACAAUCCAGAUGUUGCAAAAAGUGAAGGUUCUGUUGCUUACCAUUUUACUACAGGGUGUUUUUUAUUUCAUCUUGAGUAACUAUAGCUUUUAUCUUAAAAUACACCACCCAUUAAAUAUUUUAUAUCAAUUCUGAUGUAAUACAUUGAGGUGAACAACCUAGAUACAAAUAAGCUCUGAAAUUUUUAUCCAGAGAUAGUUAAUCUGUGGUGGUGAUAAACCUUAAUUGGCCAUGUACAUGGAUUUAUUUACAAGUUCAUAAAUUUUAAAAUAUCUAAACCUUCUUUUAAUUUUUAGCUCAGCCUAUCAUAAAUAUAAAUGAAAAUCCUUCUUUCAAAAUUGGCAUGAGAUGGCAAAGCAAUUUUCUAAAUAUUUGUAAUCCAGUGAACCCGUGCGGCUGGUCAAGGAAUUACUUACACAGAAUACACACAGCUAUUUGUAUGGUGUCUUUCCCCAGCAUCUUCAGAUGCCUUUGUUAUGCCCUUUUGGAAUGUCUGCUUGAGAAAACAUUGUUUUCAUUGUUCACUCUUUUCAAGCCAGGCAUCGGGAUGUGCCAGAAGACAGAGCUGCUUAGUGGGGCAAAAAUACAAUGAAUUUUAUUUACUGUUUGCAAAUGGAAUUCACAGCAAAAUUCCAGUGAAGGUCCAAUAGCAGCAGGAGGUUGUGGAGGUGAAAACAGCAAGGAGGACAGUGACAAAGAGGGAGAGAGGUUCUCAGAGCUUGUAGUUAUGGUUACAUGGGUUUCAGAUACUAAUAAUCUUGGUGGUUUUGUUUUUUAAAAUUUUACAUCAACAGUAUAGGGGAAGGCUUAGUUUAUAUUUACUUCACGAAUGGUAAAAUUUCCAGAGUUGUUGACCAUUUAUUCAAAAAAUGAUGAUAGGAGUGUCUUGUAGGUCACCUAGUAUGAACGCUUUCACUUUCUUAUUCUUUUUAGGAUUUUGUGCAGAUUUUUUCUAUUGUUAGAACAACAUCCUAAAAUCAUUAAAGGGAAUUUAAAGCCUCCCCACUAACAGAUCGUCUCACAGUGUCUGGCUUCAUUGUCUUGCUUGCUGGCUUCUUGCUUUCUUCUGGUGUUUGCUUAUGUACGUACGUGGUUUAAUGUCAUUGUCAGCUUAUGUAUGUGUACAGGUUUGCAUACAUGUGAGUUGAGCCAGAACAUUGAAAUUAUCUUUCUAAAGAAAUUAUAACUUGGAAAAUUUUACAGUUCAUUUGGAACCUUUGCUUUUUACCUAAAAUCUAAUUACAGUGUAUCUACUGCAUCACAUAGUAGGUAUAUAGUACAUUUUAAAUUGGAUCACAGUAGGUUUUCCUCUCUACUAACCAUCCCUCUUCCAGUUUUAAAUGACAUUAGUACUGUUUCUUAUGAAGGACUAAAUUUGUAUAUAUGAGAGUAGGAAAAAUAAGAGAAAUAGGAAUGUUGAUAUAGUACACGUAUAUGUACAUAUUACUCCAUGUUAUGUAUUCAUAAUGUGACCUAUAGUAAGAAUUAGCCCUUAAUAUUAAAAAGAAAAAUGUAGGUUCAAGUGAGAUAUGCCUAAGGUUUCUACUAUUAAUAAAACUGAACUGUUUUUCCUAUGGUUAAUUCCCAUCAGCCUUUGAUCCAAGCCCUUGCUUAAAGAAGUCAAUAGUAUGGAUAGAGUGGAGUUUAUCAUCAAGUCCUUUUGGAAAUGAGACAGCAAAUUAAAAAUCAAUUAUAUGCACAGAAAAGUUGGUGUAAGGCAGUCAGUUCUGUCAAUUAGUUUGCAGAAAGAUUCUGCUGUUACAUAAGCUAUAAAGAGAAAUGUGUUUUAAAAAUCCCUUAGUAAAUGAAAUAGGACAAGCAUUUUAUUAGAAGGGAAAAGAUAUUUCAAAAAUUUAUUUCAGUAGUUCCUGUCAGUAGAAGUUGCCUCUGGGAUAAAUGUACGAAUUUAGCCGUGACCUUUCCAUUCACAUACAUGGCUCUGCUGCUUUCUAGGCUUCCUCGUUACACUGUAGUCAAAGAAGUUAGUAUGCCCAUUUUUCUCUUUGUGUUUAACAAGAUUUUCUUUUCUUAUUUUCUUUAACCAGUACUUUUUUAAAUUUCAUUAUCCCCAGUUCUACUUUUAGAUUAAAAAAAAAAAAGAAAGCCAGCAUACCUUGUGCUGUUCAUUAGGGCCGUGCGUGUGUGUGUGUGUGUGUGUGUGUGUGUGUGUGUGCGUGCGCGCGUGCGCGCAUGCACGUCUGUAUUUAGGCAUUAGGGCUAUACAGAGACCUGGAAAGUAGCCCCACAUUGAAUACAAGCACACUUAAAUUAUUCUGGCUGCUUGGGAUAAUCUUUUUAAAUUGAAGAGUGCUUUUGAUGGUAUAUUUUUCAUUUUUUGCUGGGGGGUGGGCAGUAAUAGGGGGAGUCUUCAGCUUGAAAGAUUAAUAAAUGCUAGAGCAGUGGGUUAUUGAAGCCAUGUUUCCAUCUUAUUUUCAAGGGCAUGUAAAAAAUGGAGAUAGCAUACACUUUCAGCCACUCUCUAUCAUCUUUCUCUGUUCAUUUAAAAAAUGAGAACAAGGCACAAGGGGACUUGAGAGAUUGCAUUUGUUCUCCCAUAGACAUAGAGGUUAUUUUAUAAAUGAAGAGGAUGGAAAACGCUUUUCUUGUGCAGUUUCUUAGCAACAGAAUUGGAGUCAAUUUUAAUGUGUGUGUUUAGAACAUUCUAUGUAGAGUGACAUUGGAGACUUACAUUUUCACAGGUAAAACAUACUACACUGCUAACUGAAAUUGAGGGUUGGGAGAAGGAAACAGGAAGUGAAAAAUGAGAACCCUUCCAUGAGAGGAAGUUAUUCAUUUAGAUCUGCCUCCUCGCUCCUGGAGUACUUCUGCCUUAAACCUAAAGUCUCCCUUAGGCUGGGCAUGGAGGCUCAUGCUUGUAAUCCCAGCACUUUGGGAGGCUGAGGUGGGCAGAUAUCCUGAGGUCAGGAGCUCGAGACCAGCCUGGCCAACGUAAUGAAACACCAUUGUUACUGAAAAUACAAAAUUAAGCCAGGUGUGGUGGGGUAUGGGGUACACCUGUAAUCCUAGCUACUUGGGAGGCUGAGGCAGUUGAAUCGCUUAAACCCAGAGACUGAAGAUGCAGUGAGCUGAGACUGUGCCACUGCACUCCAGCCUGGGCGACAGGGCAAGACUGUCUCAAAUAAAUAAAUAAAAAUAAAGUCUCCCUUAGGUGGAAGUAGUAAUGGCCUUGGUAGCCCCCAGUUGCCACCUUCACUAGAGUGCCAACCUGUUUUCUGUCUUCCUUGGGAGUAUUUUGUUGUUAUUCUUUUCCUUACACCCUGCAUGCAACUAACUGACGCUUUGAUUUGAUGUUGUUUUUGCACUUACUUUAAAACAUUUUUCCAAAGUAGCUUUAUAUAGGUGAAUUCUAGUGUGUUUUCCACAUUUAUAAAGCAACGUACUGAGCUAUCAGGAAGCAGAAUGUGUUUGGUGGUUAAAAGGGGAGAAAGACAAUGCCUGGUACUGGCCUCAGCAUCUGAGCAUGGGGGCCCAGGGUCUGUCUGUCUGUCUCUGUGUUCCUUGGGUUUGAGGUCAGUUUGGCAGAGGGCACGCUGGCCUGCCAGCUUCCUUUGAUUGUUGACUCUGUGUGAACAUGAAGAUAGAAUUAGCCCUUCCUACUUACCAAGUUUCUCAUUCCGUUCUGAGUUUAGAUCACUAGUUGGAAUUCAUUCAUUCAUUCAUUCAUUCCGGAAAUAUUGAUAGAGUACUGACACUCUGCCGGGUGAUACCAGAGUGAACAAAAUCGACAAAAAUCUCUGCCUUCAUGGAGCUGAGAUUGUAGUGGGGAAGGAAGCUAGAUUAAAACAAUCUUGCUAAGUGACAUAUACAGUGUGUUAGUCCUGAAAAGAUUAAAAACAGGAAAGCGAUAUGAAAUAACAGGUAGAGGGGUUGAACUUUUACUUAAGAUAGCUACGGAGAGUUCACCUUUGAGUAAAGACCUUUAAAAAAGUGAGGAAGCUAGCCUUGCAUAUAUACAGGGGAAGAGAAUUCUGGGCCAAGAAAACUGAGUGCAAAGGCCCUGACGUGGGAGCAUGCCUGGGAAAAAGCAAAGCUGCCGUGGAGUGGAUGGAGAAGAUGAAGUCAGACAACCACCAGGAUCUUAGACCAGAGUUGUUUGCUCCUAUUUUGUGCCUCACGGUUGAGUUACAUUAUCAGACUCAUGAGGAAGUCUUGAGGACUGUUCUGUUUUCUCCCAACAGAGUGUCUCCCAUAACAGUGUUUUUAUGGCUUCAGUUAUGUAGGACUCUGAGUCAUGCAUUCCUCUGGCUUCUGCAGCAGCUCACUGUGUCAAGAUUGAAGCGUUUUUGUUUUCUGACUGGUUUAGACAGUAUUUACUGCAUAUGUUUACUAUAAAUUCAGCAUUUGUGAGAGGGGUUGUUUUUCCUGAGUAGGAGCAAGAAAAUACCUGGAAAGACGUGUACCUGCUGUACCUCUGUCUUGGAGUAGUCAUUAUUCUUGUCAUCAGCAUGUCUAAUUCAAAUUAGGGAAGUUCUAAUUCAGGAAGUGAAGACUGUGGAAAACUUGAAGCUGUAGAUAUCAUGCUCUAUACAUCAAAUGAAAAGAGAGUCUUCUCAAAAAUCUUUCUUUCUUGAAUCAAAUCCCCUGGCUUUGAGACUUAGCUCAGGGGAGAGUCCCUCUGAUAGUGCUGUUUGACAAAACAGGCCAGCUUCCCUUGUCGGCCGGCAUUCACUUGCUCUGGGCCUGUGGUGAUUAUUCUUAACGUCUGGAGGAUGGUUGCUAAGUGCACUGACUGACUAGAAUGCUGGGCCAAGCUUAGUGUUCCCUAGUAGCGUUCUGAUCUUCUUCUUUCUCCAAAACUCAUUCUCAUGAGAGGUUAGGAUGCUCAUGAGGCACUUUAGAAUCAGGAGUGGCCCAUGACUAAUGAAGGCCUGGACGUCACUGCCUUUUGUAGGCCCUGCUGCACCAGGUUGGGAAGACAAGUUCAUUUGGGUGCCUCCACACUGAACUAGGAAGUCUUGAGGGCAGGGUUUUAGUUUAAUUCUUUUUGUAGUCACAGAAGCUGGCCCAGCACAUGGAGCAGGAUUGAUCAUCAGAAAAUACCAUUUGAGUGAGUGGAACAGGAAAACCUCAGAUCGCUUCAGUGGAGUGACCUCUUUGGUGGAGCUCCUGAGCUGCCAGAGCCUAGGGAGGCUUCUCCUUUGACCAGCAUAGGGCUAGUGCACGCCCUGAGCAUCACAAGAACUGUUUAACUGGAUGUGUCCCUGUUCUUUUAGUCUCAGUAGCUUCCUUUGGAAGGAGCAACCAACUCCUUCCAGUUUGUGGUUUUAUUUUCUGUCUUCCAAUUUUAAAAACUCAUUCAUUGCCAAUAUCACCUGAUGUGUACUGAUGAUACGUGUGGUUGAUAUGUUCUAUUAUGGGAGAAUGAGUGAUGGAGGGAGAAGGAAAGAGCUCAGUGGGCAGCACAGGUCAAUCUGGCUGUCCAGCACACCUUCCCAUACAAACCAGCACUGUUUCUGGUUCGGGAGUCAUGGUCCCUCGUGAUCUUGCCACUGCACUCCAGCCUGUGUGACAGAGUAAGACCGUGUCUCUAAAAAAUAAAAAAAAAAAAUUUUUAAAAAGGAAUCAUGCUGCUAAGAACACCAGCAAGAUUGUUAUUCUGAAAAUAGGAUAAUGCCCAGAGGCACCCUGAACAGCUUUGUCACCACUGCCCUGUGUCCCUCCUGGUUCUGCUCUCUGAGGGCUGCUGAAGUCCUGGUACCAGAGAUCUCUGGGGAAGGCCCAUAACCUCCUGAAGAAGAUAAGCCAGGCUCUUCACUCUCCUAUAUGGAAAAUUCAUUUUUGGGGUGGGUUGGUGGGCAAAAGCAGGGAGAGGGCCUGGUGGUUUGUGGAGAGAAAACUGGCCUCAGAGUCAGAAGUGCAGGUAUCAGUCCUCAGAUUGGCAGUACCUGUAUAGCCUCAAGGAAGCAGGGUCUCCCCAAACCCCUUCUUGAGGUGUUUUUUCUUUUGUUUUUAGAGUUUUGCUCUGUUGCCCAGGCUGGUCUUGACCUCCUGACCUCAGGUGAUAGGAGAUCUGCCUGCCUCAGCCUCCCAAAGUGUUGGCGUUACAGACAUGAGCCACCACACCUGGCAAGUCUGAAGUCUUUGUAUCAAAGAAAUAAUAAGAAAGGGAGAAGGAAAGGGGAGGGGAAAAAUUCUGAGGUGCUGGCAACUGUGUUUGACAGGAAGUCAGGAUUGAGCCUAUCUUGGUCUGCUGCCUCCCCUGUCCUUUCACUUCCAGGUGAAAAAUUGGCCACAUCCUUUAAAGCUAACAGUCAUUCCGAUUUAAGAAAUUUGAAAACACACGUGCACACAUGCAUGUUUGUGUACACACACAUUUACACAGUGUCCUUUUAUUACUGAAAAUUCUUGGGAUCUCCCUUGCAGCUGAUUUUUAAGUUUUGAUCAUACUUUUAGUUUUCUAAUCUUUGCCAUUGGCAGCAAUAAAACCAAAUCUGGUAGGCUACAGAGACACAGGCUAAUUAGUACCAUAGACCACACCAGAGUGGGAGGAAGGAUGGCCCAUCACCGCAGCCAUGCUCUGUGCUCUUUUAUCCCUUGUCCUCCUCUCAACAGCAGCUUAGAGUCUUCUCUGGGAACCACUGUUUAAUAUUAAAAUCUGUGGGGGUGUCACACAUUUGCUAAUAAACUGCUUUCCAAACAGAUAUAGUCUAUCCUAAAUAUUAGUCAUUUUCUUUUUUCAGAUAGAGCCUUUAAUUAAUUAGGGUGACAGAGCUAAGUAAAUUUGGUUAUCCAUUUUUCUUUCUUUCUUUCUUUUUUUGAGACGGACUUUCGCUGUUGUUACCCAGACUGGAGUGCAACGGCACGAUCUCGGCUCACCACAACCUCCGCCUCCUGGGUUCAAGCAAUUCUCCUGCCUCAGCCUCCCGAGUAGCUGGCACUACAGGUGCGCACCACCAUGCCCAGCUAAUUUUUGUAUUUUUAGUAGAAACAGGGUUUCAACCUUGUUGACCAGGAUGGUCUCGAUCUCUUGACCUCGUGAUCCACCCACCUCGGCCUCCCAAAGUGCUGGGAUUAUAGGCCUGAGCCACUGUGCCCGGCUGGUUAUCCAUUUUUCAAAGAAAAUUUUAGAAAAUGAAUUUUAAACGGUUUUUUCCCUUUCUUUCCUUCCUUCCUUCCUUCUUGCUUUUCUUUUCUUUUUUUUGAGUCGGGGUCUUGCUCUGUCACCCAGGCUGUAGUGCAGUGGUAUGCUCUUGGCUCACUGCAACCUGUGCCUCCUGAGUUCAGGUGAUCCUUCCACCUCAUCCUCUCUAGUGGCUGGGACUACAGGCAUGUGCCACAACACCUGGCUAAUUUUUAUAUUUUUAGUAGAGACAGGAUUUCAUUAUUUUGGUCAGGCUGGUCUUGAACUCCUGAUCUCAGGUGAUCUGCCCACCUUGGCCUCCCAAAGUGCUGGGAUUACAGGUGUGAGCCACCACACCUGGCCUAACAAGGUCUUGAUAAGCAAAGGUCUAGGAAACUGGAUGAUCUGGAGCAAAAACGCAUCUAAUAUUAAUAAAGAGGUAGAGGAGCUUUGCUUAGAGAAGAUCUGGAACUCUGAUCUGUGGUGACCACUCCCCAUGUUGAGAGUCUUGAUUUCAUCAGGCAGAGCUGUUCCAAAUUCUCAAGCAGCUUAAAGAGUGGGGUGGACUCUGGAUUUUUGGGAUCCUACUACUCAGUCCAGUCCAUGGAAAUGAAAUUAUCUAGUCCUUUAGCAAUAACAAAAGUAGAAAAUUAUUUUCAGAUCAUCCUUUGAGACAGCCCAACUUCUUUGUCAGCUUCGUAGUCACUUUCCAAGUUUAUGACCCCAGAGCAAUCUGACCUUGGUAGCUUGUCUCUCUCAUUAAAUUCUCUGACUUCAUAAUCAGCUUACAUUUCCUUCCCCUGCCUCCCCCUCUCUUUUUAAAUCUCUGUAAAACAUUCAAGUGAUCUACGUAGAUUUAUCUUGCUUUUAGGCCACACUCUGAGAUGCGUGAUCUGGUUGCUCACACAUUUGGAGGAAUCCAUGAGCAUCACACCAUAUACUCUCCACUGGUUUGAAAUCGUUGUGGUCACUCGGGCAUUCCAUUGUUUUGAAGAUAGACGUGUAUAAGGGUACACUCUACUGAGCCUGAGUAUCUUCACAAAAGGGGUGGUGGAUUCUUGAAGGUGAAGAGCAAACAUUUCUCUCUGUUUCUGGAUAAUAACUUUAAAUUUGCCUUAGAAUUUAUACAUGGAAAAAGAAAGGUUUUUAUUUUUUACCUUAAACUGAAUGUAAUUCCCCUGCAUGUCCAUACCUUCUCUGUGUGCAGGGCUCUGCUGGAGGUUUGAGACCUUUUUGUCCACUGUUUGUUCUCAUAAUUCUUUCUCUAGUUGAAUAUUCCAUUCCCAUCAUUGUUAGUUUCUUCUUCUGUUAUUCAAGAGACCUUUUUUUUUGGCUUAGCUUUUUUAGACUUACAACAAACGUUAUUGAUUCCUGUGUGCAAAAGGAAGGGAACAUAUAACUGACUUUAAACAAACUGCAUUUGUUCUUUCACUGCUAAGAUCUCUGCAGGAGCUACCACCAACCUUGGUAAUUACUUGGCAGUGUGGCCAGCAACUUGCCAUCCCACUUUGGUAUCCUUGACUGAUUUUGGUAGUUGAGUGUAAGAGAGUGCUUGAGUUGGACUUAAUCACCACAGAAUCUAGAGGGGACAGCAGCCACACAAUUGGAAACUUGUUUUGAGUGUCUCUGUUGCUUCAGAUGGUGUGCUAGGGCUCACAGGGACUGCAGAGGCAAGCAGCUGCACUCCGCUCUUGGACAGGGAGAUCAGGAAGGGUGCUGCAGAGGAGGCUUAUUUGAGAGGACCUUGAAGGAUGGAUAGGAGUUCACUGGGCAGAGGUUAAUGGAAGAACAAGGGCUAAAAGAAUUUGAGCAGUUGGUUAGUAGCUAGUUGCCCAGUUUGGAUGAAGCUUAUGGGUGGGGAAGGGUGUGAGGUAACUAAUUCAGAGCCUCCCACUUUUGAUGGAUAAGUUUAUGUUUAAUUCAACAGGAAACGAGGAAAAAUUAUGUAUUUUCAAAUGUGGGGAAGGAUGGGACUGGAGCUGCCCUAGAAGAACGAUCUGGCAGUAGCAUUGGAAGAGUAGAGGUGGGCUGAGGACUUCUUGUGAGCUUGUCUGCACAUUAGAGUCAUCGGGAGAGCUUGAAAAUGCCCCAGUGCUGGUCUGUGCCCCAGCUAAUCAGAACAGAAUUCCUGGGGUGGGCCAUGGGCAUCCAUAUUCUAGGCCCUGAGAACCGCUGGACUGGGUCAGGACUGUAUUCCUAGUGAGAGAUGUCGAGAGCUGUCAGUCUACAGCAGCACUUCACAAUGUUAGGUGCACAGUAGACUCACAUGAGGAACUUUAGACACACAGAGCAGAGACUUGGGUCUGAUUUAAUUCAUCUGGGAUACAGCCAGGAUGUUGGGACACUAAUAUGCAGUCAAAGUAGGUGGAAGUUUAGGCUAGAAAAUUGGUGGGAGGUCAGGAUGUUGAGGCAAUGAGUGUUUUUUUCUUUGUUUGUUUGUUUAUUUUUUGAGAUGGCAUUUCGCUCUGUCACCCAGGCUGGAGUGUAGUGGUGCGAGUUCAGUUCACUUCAAACCCUGCCUCCCAGGUUCAAGCGAUUCUCCUGCCUCAGCCUCUCGAGUAGCUGGGAUUACAGGUGCGCGCCACCACACCCAGCUAAUUUUUGUAUUUUUAGUAGAGACAGGGUUUCACUAUCUUGGCCAGGCUGGUCUUGAACUCCUGACUCCAAGUGAUCCACCCACGUCAGCCUCCCAAAGUGCUGGGAAUACAGGCAUGAGCCACUGUGCCCAGCCGAGGCAAUGAGUAUUGACUGCAUUGUUGAGAUAAUGAAUAGUUAAGUCCCAGGCUGCAUGUUGAACAUGAGAAACCAGUACAGAGAUGGUAGAGGAGUUGAGGAACACAAUCAAGCAGAGGGAUGUUGUGGGGGCCAUGGAGUAAAUAGGGAAAGUCUGUGGUUUCACGUCUUAGGCAUGGCUAUCGGUAGAUGGCUAGGUUGGAAUAAUGAACACUAAGCAUGGUGGACACAGAAUAUUCGAUCUGGCCGGGCGCGGUGGCUCAAGCCUGUAAUCCCAGCACUGUGGGAGGCCGAGGCGGGUGGAUCACGAGGUCAAGAGAUCUAGACCAUCCUGGUCAACAUGGUGAAACCCCGUCUCUACUAAAAAUACAAAAAAUUAGCUGGGCAUAGUGGCGCGUGUCUGCAAUCCCCAGCUACUCAAGAGGCUGAGGCAGGAGAAUUGCCUGAACCCAGGAGGCAGAGGUUGCGGUGAGCCGAGAUUGUGCCAUUGCACUCCAGCCUGGGUAACGAGCGAAACUCCGUCUCAAAAAAAAAAAAGAAUAUACGAUCUGUGUUUUCCACAUUCCUGAGAGUGCUGUUGAAAGGUAGGAUGGAGGAAGAGACUUUGUUGCAGGUCUUAGAAUAGGCGGAGAUGGGUUUGGCAAGUGGUUGACGCUGUGAUGGGGGAACCCGGAUGGGCAUGGUUGAUGAGAUGGUGAGACAGCAUUGCUACUGUUAUAAAACUGAACUUCUGGCCCUGUAACUGGAGGGGUUAAAAGGAAUGCUCUCUGGAUAUGAAUGUGAGAAAGCUGCAGCAGGGCUCAGGGGUUGGGGUAUGAGGUCAUUAGGAGAACUGCAUGUGAGAGGACAGUAGGUAUCUAGGGGACAUCAUGUGAGGCAUCAGUUGGGAUUUCCUAGGGUGAGCAUCUGGUCCAAAGGACGUCUAGUCUGGACUGGGCUGGGAAUACAGGAAGGGCUGGAAAGGAAGGAAGUGUAUGCUGUGCCUAUCAUUUACUUCCACACGGAGAGGGAAGUGAGCAUUGCCUUCGCACGCAGCUCUGCUGGGUGCUGUGCUUCUUGGUACCCUCCCGUUUCUUGGAGCUCCUGGCUCCUCAGUGGAGUCACUAAAUCGUUAACUGCUAAAUGGAACCAAAGUCCAUUGGCUCCAUUUAGAAGUUGAAGGUGGAGGAAAGGUGCAAGGAGACAGAGGUUUGUGAAUGGAACAAUAUGUAGAACUAAAAUUGCAGAUUUGAGUAUUGGCUGUACAAUAUAUUCCUGGUGUUUGUUCCUCAGUCACUCAACAAACAAUGAGUAGAGUGUACAAGGCACCGUCUCAGCUGUGGGGAUAGAAAUAACCGUGGAUGUACUGUUCUCAUGGGAUUUGCAUCCUGCUAGGGAUCACAGACAAAUAAGCAAAUUAACUUAAAUCAGAUGAAUUCAGGUAAAUGCCAUGAGGAAGAUAAAUUAGUUUUGCUACACAGAGACUGAGUAGGGUAGAGGUUGUAGAGCUAUAAAGGUACCUCCUUCCGGGUAGAAGCAGCUUCUCACACCAUGUUACUGUUCCCUCUUAAGUAAUUCUGAGUAAAUGACACCACUGAUCAUUCAUGUCAGUCAAGAGUGAUCUAUGUUUUUUAGGCCCGGGUGGUGGCUUACACCUGUAAUCCCAGCAUUUUGGGAGGCCGAGGCAGGUGGAUCACGAGGUCAGGAGUUCAAGACCAGCCUGGUCAAGACGGUGAAACCCUGUUUCUACUAAAAAGAAAUACAAAAAUUAGCCGGGUGUGGUGGUGGGCACCUAUAAUCCCAGCUACUCGGGAGGCUGAGGCAGAGAAUUGCUUGAAUCUGGGAGGUGGAGGUUGCAGUGAGCAGAGAUCGUGCCGCUGCAGUCUGGCCUGGAUGACAGAGCGAGACUCCAUCUCAAAAAUAAAUAAAUGAAUUCAUUAAUUGGAAAAAAAUAGUGAUUAUGUUUUUCUAGUAAUUCAAAUUUCUUGACUCCAUCCAAUAAUCUUUGUGGUCAUGUCUCACAAUUGCCUAUAAACUGCACAUUAUUAGAACCAGCUAAAUAAAUGUCUUUAAGACUCAAUAACUUUCAAGAGUUUAGAACAGAUUAAAUUUAGCUGAAAGGAAAGAUGGGAUCUCUACUAUGGAAGUGAAAUAACGUAGUUGUAUUUGACGGAGCAAUCUGUGCAUUUUUUAUGCCUAGCAUGAGGGACACGAUAAUGGAAUAUUUUAAAAUUCUAACAGGAUUCUUUGAAGUUUUUUCUUGACAUUUUGGACUGGGGAAAAGAUUAGAAGAGAAGGGUCUGGUUCUUGUUAAAACCUUUAUUGACAGUCUUAUGUCAGCUUCGGAUGUAAACUCCCCAUGGCCAGGAGAGAGAGAACAGGGAGAAGUUGGAGCUGAACCCAAAAUGGGGCUCUGUGUAGCUGACGGAGUUCCCUUUAAAUGUCACUGUUGUUUUAUUUUCUUUGAUGCUUCCUCAGUGUAAUAUAUUUUAUCCAAAGAGGCCGAAGGGCCUAAGACAAACAAACAAAAGACACAAAGGAGCUCGAUGUGUGGAUAAUUCAUUUCCUCUUUGUAAGGAACAUUUCUUUGAUCCUUUAUUAGGCCACAGAAUGUUUCUGUCUGCCAUUAGCUAUUCUUGACUGUGUUGAGAGGCUCCACCAAUCCCAGCAGCCUGAUCUUCUGCCAGCCUGAGAAGAAGGCCGUAAAGGCUGAUCUCGUGACUCAGGGCUGUCCCCAAGUUAACCGAGCAAAAGAGCUGCAGUGCUGCUGUGUGAGGUUUCGUGCGUGAGAUUUUGUGCACGAGUGGUGCUGACAUCAUGUCCAGUUAUUCUUCAGUUUGUGAUUUUUUUCAAAAAACAAGAAACUCUGGUUCUUCCUCCUUCCCCCCGCCCCCCCACCCCACCCCCUAGAUGGAGUCUUGCUCUGUUGGCCCAGGCUGGAGUGCAGUGGCACAAUCUCAGCUCACUGCAACCUCUGCUUCCCAGAUUCAGGUGAUUCUCCAGCCUCAGCCUUGCAAGUACCUGGGACUACAGGCACAUGUCCCCACGCCUGGCUAAUUUUUUAUAUUUUUAGUCGAGAUGGGGUUUCUCUGUGUUAGCCAGAAUGGUCUCUAUCUCCUGACCUAGUGAUCCACCCACCUUGGCCUCCAAAAGUGCCGAGAUUACAGGCAGUGGACCUGGCCUUUUUUUUUUUUUUUUUUUUUUCCUUUUUAUACCCUUCCCUCACUUGUACUUCUUUCAGAUAACUCUUCUUCUAUCUGUGGAAAACUCACCCAAUAGUAAUUAUUUUCUUUAGCAUAUUUAUGCUGAGAAGACAAAAGCAUUGGUAAACCCACAUUCUGGUUGAAUCUGUGCCUUGGACUAGUUGCAGUACCCUGGGAAAGUCAUUGGUCCUCUCUCUAAUAAAUGAGAGUAUUAAUUAAGUAUCAAUAUCUGGGCCCCUUCUGGCUCUGAAAGGCCCAGAUACUGAUAAUUGGAAAUUUCAUCGAAGAAACAUUUAUUAAACACCUGUCAUGUGCAGAGGCCUCCACAUGGCCCUGGACAGGACCUCCCCACCUCAAGGUGGUGGUCUUCUAAUGGCAGUGGUGGACUUGGAUGCCCAAAACAUAGUGCUAGGUAGAAUUGGAAAGUUCCAUGGGGCACACAGAAAGAUGGAAGCACAGAGGAUGAUGAUGUGACCUAGGCAUGAGAUAGAAAGGAAAUUUGUUGAGAGCUGCAGUAGAGGUGAGUUGACUACUUGGGAAUCCAAGUCAGAUCAUCCCACCCAAUAGCGGCUCCCCGGAUAGCAGAACUAUCCUGUGAGGAGACACAGAGAGUGCAGGAUGUGUUUGGAGAAAUGGGCAGGGCCUGGCUUGAGUUGGAUCUGGAGCUGGGGUGGCAGACACAGGCAAGUGCCACACACUCACUCUUCUGUGUCCAUUGCACACACAGUUAACACAGCACAGCCUCCUCUGGAGCUGAACCGAAACGUCAGAACCCACAUGCUUGGUAGAUUUUACCUCUGUGUAAAAGUGGGGUUCCUGCCCCAGGUGGGUGAUUAUGGGAGAUGAUUGUGUCUCUCUCUUCUCCUGCACUUGGUUCAUAACCGAGAUCACCUCUAUAAUUUCCUGCUCAUGAAGAUUAUUCUCUUUAGCCACUGGGUGUCAAGGCUGGCCCCUCUACAUGUGUAGAUGAUGACUAAAAAAUACAAUUAAUAAGUGAAAAGGAGUCCAGAUGCUUGGGUGGUGUGGGCAUGCGAGUCCAGGCUGAAGUGACAGAAUGGAAGGUGCGAAGUACUUUAAUUGGCAUGCUGAGGAGUUUGUGCUCUUUACUGUCCUUGAACAGAGGCAUAGGCAGCUUUGGAAUUCAAAUAAAGAGAAGUCUGUACCUUGGUGAACAGCAGUUACAUACUACAGGAUCUUCCAUGGUGCAGCCUGUCUUGGUUGAAGAAAGUGUUUUCAGUGACCCUAGUUUGGUUCUGUUAGGUAAAACCAGACUAAACAUAGCUGAGUUGUGGAAGCAUGCUUGGUACCCCAAAGAAUUUCUGGGUCUUCCUUUAGGUAGAUAUGAAGUUAAAAAAGUUUUUUUUAUCCCCUAAAAGGAUUUUGCUUUAAACCACAUACCCUCUCCCAAAUUUAAAUUGACAUGUUUUUUUUUAUCAUAAGGAUGUAACUUCUAACAUUACAAACAUGGACAUUUAAAAAUAAAAUUGUUGCAUCACUUUUUUAAAUAUUAAAAGAGGAUUUUAAAUACCAUAGUGAUUUAUACCCAUUAUCAUCUAUUUAAAAAAAUAUAUAAAGAAAAGAGGUUUAACUGGCUCACAGUUCUAUAGGCUGUACAAGCAUGACACCAACAUCUGUGCAGCUUCUGGGGAGGCCUCAGGGAGCUUUUACUGACUGUGGAAAGCAAAGCGGGAACACCACGUCACUUGAUGGAAGAAGGAGCAAGGGGGUAGGGCUGCCACACACUUUUAAACAACCAGAUCUUGCAAGAACUCACUCACUCAUUGUUGCAAGGACAGCACCCAGAGGAUGAUGCCUAAACCAUUCAUGAGAAAUGCACCCACAUCAUCCAGUCACCUCCCACCAGGCCCUGUUUCCAAUGUUGGGGAUUACAUUUCAACAUGAGAUUUGGGAGGGGACAAAUACACUAUAUAAUUCUGUUCCUGGCUUCCCGCAAACCUCAUGUCCUUCUCACAGUACAAAUUACAGUUAUCUCUUAUCAGUAGUCCCCCAAAGUCUUACCUCAUUCCAGUAUAAACUCAAAGGCUAAGGCUCAUCUGGGACAAGGCAAGUCCCUUCCACCUGUGAGCCUGUAAAAUCAAAAACAAGUUACUUACUUCCAAGAUACAAUGGGGUAUAGGCAUUGGAUAAACUUUCCCAUUCCAAAAGGUAGAAAUCAGCCAAAAGAAAGGGGCAUUGAGCCCUAUGCAAGUCCUGAAGCCAGCAGGGCAAUCAUUAAAUCUUAAAGCUCCAGAAUAGUCCUUGACUCCAUUUGCCGCAUCCUGGGUGCACUGAUGAGGGGUGGGCUCCCAAGGCCUUGGGCAGUUCCACCCCUGUGGCUUUGCAGGGUUCAGCAAAUUGGAGUUGAGUGCCUGCAGCUUUUCCAGGCAUACAGUGCAAGCUGCUGAUAGAUCUACCAUUCUUGGGUCUGGAAGACAAUAGCCCCUUGCCAGAGCUCCACUAAGCAGUGCCCCAGUGGAGACUCUGUGUGGGCCCUCCAAUCUCACAUUUCCCCUCCACACUGCCCUAGUAGAGUAUCUGUGUGAGGACUCCAUCCCUUCAGCAGGAAAGUUCCAAACUUUCCCUCAUCUUCCUGUCUUCUGAGCCCUCCAAACUCUUCUAACAUCUGCCCAUUACUCCAUUGCAAAGCUGCUUCUGCAUUUUCAGGUAUCUUUAUAGCAAUACCCGACUCCUGGCACCAGUUUUCCAUAUUAGGUCAUUCUUGCAUUGCUAUAAAGAAACACCAGAGAUUGGGUAGUUUAUAAAGAAAAGAAGUUUAAUUGGCUCACAGUUCUGCAGGCUGUACAAGCACGGUGCUGGCAUCUGUGUAGCUUCUGGGGAGGCCUCAGAGAGCUUUUACUUAUGAUAGAAGAUGAAGUAGGAGCAGGCGUAUCACGUGAUGAAAGCAGGAGCAAGAAUUAGCAUCUGUUUUUAAAAUACAUGAGUAAGCUUUUGUUUUGUUGGUUUUUUUUUUAGACGGAGUCUUGCUCUGUUGCCUGGGCUGGACUACAGUGGCACCAUCUUGGCUCCCUGCAACCUCAGUCUCCUGGGUUCAAGGGAUUCUUCUGCCUCAGCUCCUGAGUAGCUGGGAUUACAGGUGUGCGUCACCAUGCCUGGCUAAUUUUUCUAUUUUUAGUAGAGAUGGGGUUUCACCAUGUUGGCCAGGCUGGUCUUGAACUCUUGACCAUCUGCCUCGGCCUCCCAAAGUGCUGGGAUUACAGGCAUGAGCCACCACACCCAGCCAGCUUCUUUUUAAAAGUAGUUCAGUAUUACAUCUUAUCCUUUGCCCCUUUAAUUUUUGUUUCCAUUCUACUUCUCCAAGGACUUUAUACUAAGGUGAUGCAGUUUAUGUUUGAAAGUCUAGUGUUAGACUGACCUUUAGUACUUCCCUGCAACAAAAACUAUGUGUAUUGAAAUCUAUGAAAAUAUUGUUAUUUCCUUGAAUAAUAAAGCUCUAAGUGUUAGAAGAAAAGUCUUUUUCAAGUUAUAAUAAUUAUUACAGGCCAGGCGUGGUGGCUCACGCCUAUAAUCCCAGCAUUUUGGGAGGCUGAGGCAGGUGGAUCACGAGGUCAAGAGAUAGAGACCAUCCUGGUCAACGAGGUGAAACCCCGUCUCUACUAAAAAUACAAAAAUUAUCUGGGCAUGGUGGUGUGCACCUGUAGUCCCAGCUACUCGGGAGGCUGAGGCAGAAGAAUUGCUUGAACCCAGGAGACGGAGGUUGUGGUGAGCUGAGAUCGUGCCAUUGCACUCCAGUCUGGGUAACAACAGCGAAACUCCGUCUCAAAAAAAAAUUAUUACUAGAGCAUAGUUGAUGAAAACAACAAAAUAUUGUAAAUGUUGAUAUAAUUUUAAUUUUUGCUUCAUAUUUAUUGAAAAUAGGUUAGAUGAAGUUUUUUAAACACAUUAGUGCCCAGAAACUUUGUUUACAUGAGUAAAUAGAUGGGAAUGAUAGUUUUGUUUCAGUAUCACUCAGUUAUUUGAACUGUUUCCAUAAUAAUGCCAAAAGUAUAAUUUGUCAUUAGACAUGAUUUUCCUUAAUCUAUCAGAUGACACUUCCACUAGGACCUCCUUGUGUUUUGUUGAAAGCAGAGAAUCAGAAAGUUUCUGACUUAUGGAGUCUUUCUUAUCCUGACCUCAGAGCUAGGCACCGUGUCAGCACUAGUGUCAGUGUUUUAAGUUGUCCCCUUGUUUGGUGCCCCUAGGGCAGUGCUGCCGAGUAGCCUUCCAGGUGGGAGCGAAGGAUUGGGGGCUGCCUUUGUGAAGUGAGAGGGGGGCAGUGGUGGUGGUAGAAGAAGAGAGGCUGCAUCCCCUCAUAGGAGUGUGUGCCUUCUCAGGCUAAUGAAUUGUAGGAAAGAGAACAUAGGAAAAAAACGUCUUUUGUGUCCAUACGUCCCAUUUUGCAGAUAUGGUCCUACACAUCUUAUAUGCCAGGCCCAAUUCUGGGCUCUGGAAGAGUCAAGGAAACCCAUGCCUCUGUAGGAGCUGGGUUAGUGGUGUCGAGAGGGCUAGUUUGGGUGCUUACGAAGCCAUGCUACACAUUGCAUUGGUGAUUGGAAAAACUUGCUGUCCUUGCCCUCCAGGGGGUUAUCAACUGAGGUCACAUGAUAAAGCAAAGCAGUCCCCUGCCCCCGCCAUCCCCCUGCAAAAUAACCCUGCAAGAACUAAAGAAAACCCUAUGCUAGAUCUUGUUAUUUAAUGUGUUCAUAAAGCACUUACAUUACUCUGGCAUGAUUUUUUUUUUUUUGAGACAGAGUUUCACUCUUUUUUUUUUUUGGAGACGGAGUUUCGCUCUUGUUACCCAGGCUGGAGUGCAAUGGCGCAAUCUCGGCUCUCCGCAACCUCCGCCUCCUGGGUUCAGGCAAUUCUCCUGCCUCAGUCUCCUGAGUAGCUAGGAUUACAGGCACGCGCCACCAUGCCCAGCUGAUUUUUUGUAUUUUUUUUAAGUAGAGACGGGGUUUCACCAUGUUGACCAGGAUGGUCUUGAUCUCUUGACCUCGUGAUCCACCAGCCUCAGCCUCCCAAAGUGCUGGGAUUACAGGCUUGAGCCACCGUGCCCGGCCUACGGAGUUUCACUCUUGUUACCCAGACUGGAGUGCAAUGGCGCAAUCUCGGUUUACCGCAACCUCCGCCUCCUGGGUUCAAGCAAUUCUCUUGCCUCAGCCUCCUGAGUAGCUGGGAUUACAGGCACGUGCCACCAUGCCCAGCUAAUUCUUUGUAUUUUUAGUAGACACGGGGUUUCACUAUGUUGACCAGGAUGGUCUAGAUCUCUUGACCCUCGUGAUCCACCAGCCUCGGCCUCCCAAAGUGCUGCGAUUACAGGUUGAGCCACUGCGCCCCGCCACUCUGGCAUAAUUUUUAAUUUUUUUUUUUUUUCCUGAGAUGACUCUCUGUCACCCAGGCUGUAGUGCAGUGGCGCGAUCUUGGCUCACUGCAACCAACACCUCCUGGGUUGAAGCAGUUCUCCUGCCUCAACAUCCCUGAGUAGCUGGGACUACCGGCACACACCACCACAGCCAGCUACUUUUUUUUUUUUUUAAAUAGAGAUGAGGUUUCACUGUGUUGGCCAGGUUGAUCUCAAACUCUUGUCUUCAGGUGAUCUGCCUGCCUCAGCCUCCCGAAGUGCUGGGAUUAUAGGCAUGAGCCACUAUGCCCAUGCUUUUUUUUUUUUUUUUUUUUGACAGAGUCUCGCUCUGUCACUAGGCUGGAGUACAAUGGCGCAAUCUGGGAUCACUGCAACCUCUGACUCCCUGGUACAAGUGAUUCCCCCCCUCAGCCUCCCGAGUGGGUGGGAUUACAGUCACGUGCCACCAUGCCAAGGUAAUUUUUUGUAUUUCUAGUAGAGACAGGGUUUCACCAUGUUGGCCAGGAUGGUCUCUUGAUCUGUCCACCUCGGCCUCCCAAAAUGCUGGGAUUACAGGCAUUAGCCGCCGUGACUGGCCCUUUUUAAAUGUUUUAAUAAGCCAGGCAUGGUGGCUCACGCUUGUAAUCCCAGCACUUUCAGAGGCUGAGGCAGGUGGAUCACCUGAGUUCCGGAGUUUGAGACCAGCCUGACCAACAUAGAGAAACCCCAUCUCUAUUAAAAAUACAAAAAUAGCUGGGCAUGGUGGCACACACCUGUAAUCCCACCUACUCAGGAGGCUGAGGCAGGAGAAUCAUUUGAACCCGGGAGGCAGAGGUUGCUGUGAGCCGAGAUGGUACCAUUGCCUGGGCAAAAAGAGUGAAACUUUGCUAAAAAAAGAAAUGUUUUAAUAACUGGAUUUCAACUGAAUAAUGGUUUCCUUUGUAAUCUGACAUUUUAUUUCAGGCAUUUUUUUUUUUUUUUGAGAUGGAGUCUCACUCUGUCCCCCAGGCUGGAGUGCAGUGGCACGAUCUUUGCUCACUGCAACCUCCGCCUCCUGGGUUCAAGCGAUUCUCCUGCCUCAGCCUCCUUAGUAGCUGGAAUUACAGGCACACGCCACAACACCUGGCUAAUUUUUGUAUUUUUAGUAGAGGCAGGGUUUUACCAUGUUGGUCAGACUGGUGUCAAACUCCUGACCUCAUGAUUCACCUACCUCGGCCUCCCAAAUACUGGGAUUACAAGUGUGAGCCACCGCACCCGACCAUAAACCAUUUUUAGAAGGGGUUAGGCUUUUCUAGACUGCCAAAGGGUCCAUGGCACGAAAGAGAUGAAGAACUGUGCACUCAGUGCUGGCCACUUCCACAUACCCCAAAUAGAUUCCUGAGUCCCAGAUGACAGUUUCAAUACAGUGGUUUCAUGGAAGGACCCUGCACAGAGUUGGUGCUUGGCACAAUGUUACUGGCUUGGGAUAGCACCAUAGGUAACUUAAAUGCUGCAUUAGACUCUCAGACCCAUUAUUGCCCCGUAUCAUCCUAAGGGUGCAGCUAUCUCCUGUAAGCAUCAGUGAAUCCACCUGGAACUGCCAGGGAGGUGUGGUUCCCAAGAGUCAUUGACCUUCCUUGCUCCACCUUUCCAUCUAUGAGCGAGGAAACUUUCAUUGCCUCCGGAUUGUGUUUCAAAACAAUGGAGAAUGUUCUUGGUUUUAUUACUAAGUAAUCUUGACCUCUGGCUUUGUAGUUAUUGUUUGGUUUGUUUCUUUAACAUCUUGACAUUCAUUAUUUUCUUCCUGGUGCUUUCUUAGGCAGUUGAUUUUCUACACGCACCAGCUCCCCUGACUGGAAGCUACAGAGCUGCAUUUAGAUCAGGUUUCUUGCAUGCUGCUGGCUUUAUCUCAUUUGCAGUAUCACAUUUCUGUUGCCAUACACUGUAGGAUCUGAGCCUCCCCACAGCUUCUGAACAAUUAGUAAUUGAACAGGAAGUGUGUUUUUAUUACAGUUGGCCUUUUGAUUUUGAUUUUACAAUCAUAUAGUGUUUAGCAGAGAGCAGAGGUGGGCAAGUGGCUCUCUGAAACACGUUUUUGACAGAGAGAAGUCUGUUGUUUCAGCCACUUGGCUAUCUGUCAGUGGUUCUCAGACUUCCCCCUUGUGUGGGUUGCCUGGCAACCUGGGGCUGGAGCAAUCAAACCGUGGCCGGUGCUUCUCCAGCCCAGAUUGUGAGAUGAUUUAUUGGUGGAACUGAGUGAGAUCUGGCUGGACGUAGUGGCUCACGUCCAUAAUCCCAACUCUUUGGGAGGCUGAGGCAGCAGGAUUGCUUGAAAUCAAGAGUUCAAGACCAGCCUGGGCAACAUAAUGAGAACCUUAUCUCUACAAAAAGAUAUUUUCAAAAUUAGCUGGGCAUGGUGACACACACCUAUAGUCUGACCUACUUGGGAGGCCAAGGCAGGAGGAUCAUUUGAGCCCAGGAGUUCCAUGACACCACUGCAGCCUAGAUGGCAGAGCAAGACUCUGUCUCUUAAAAGUAAUAAUAAAAUCUAACACCCCUUUUUGAGGUUUCUCCUUCAUAGCAUCUCAAAUAUCACAAAUGAGGAGGAAGAAGACUCUUAUUUCUGGGUACAUACUGUGUGGGAGUCGGGGGAGCAGAAGUCUCAGCCUGGGUUAGCAGUAAGUUGAGCCUUCCUUAUUGUAAAAUUUUAGAGACAUACCUUGGAACUCAAACUCACCUCUGCAUGCAGGCCAGUGGAUCCAGCUAUGUAUGUAAAUGAGCUAUUAGUAUGUUUAUAUUCCUUAUAUAUAUGCAGAUCUAAUCUGUUUGUGUGUGUAAUUUACACACAGCUGUGUUCAUGCUCCCAUAUUACCAACAUUUUCAGCAAGAGUGAGGUAUCAUGGGACCUCUAUUGUUCCAAACAAAAGCCAGCAGAGUAGCCUUGUGGUGGGGCCCAUUACCAGCCCCUGAUCUUGGGACCCUCCCAUGGGGAACUCUCUUGAAAGUGAGAGCCAUCCUGUAUGGAGUAGGCAGGAGACCAGAGUGCCUGUAAUAGGGGGAAAAACCCCAAAAUAAAACAAUGACCACCUGUUAGACAGGGAUCUGCAUUAUGACUGAGGUUUGGCUUUUGUAAUUGAAAUGCCCCCACCACCCCCACCCUGGACUACAUUUCCUAAAGGGAU